rnacentral:rRNA from 1 species
UACGUAGGGGGCAAGCGUUGUCCGGAAUCAUUGGGCGUAAAGCGCGUGUAGGCGGCCCGAUAAGUCCGCUGUGAAAGUCCAGGGCUCAACCCUGGGAUGCCGGUGGAUACUGUCGGGCUCGAGUCCGGAAGAGGAGUGUGGAAUUCCGUGGUGUAGCGGUGAAAUGCGCAGAUAUCAGGAGGAACACCAAUGGCGAAGGCAGCUCGCUGGGACGGUACUGACGCUAAGGCGCGAAAGCGUGGGGAGCGAACAGG